UACAGAGGUCUCAAGCGUUGUUCGGAUUCAUUGGGCGUAAAGGCGCGUAGGUGGCCUGAUAAGUAGGAGGUGAAAUCCUGGGGCUUAACCUCAGGGCUGCCUUCUAGACUGUCCGGCUCGAGCACAGUAGAGGCAGGUGGAAUUCCGGUGUAGCGGUGAAAUGCGCAGAUAUCAGGAGGAACACCAAUUGCGAAGGCAGCUCGCUGGGACGUUACUGACGCUGAGACGCGAAAGCGUGGGGAGCAAACAGG
rnacentral:rRNA from 1 species